rnacentral:rRNA from 1 species
GGAUAACCGUGGUAAUUCUAUGGCUAAUACAUGCGCAAAUACUGUAUAAUCAUAUUUAUUAUGAUUGUACAGUAGUGUUUAUUAGAUACAGAACCAACAGUGCGCCAUCACUUUCUAGUGGUGGUGUCAAAAGAGAAGGUGAUUCAUAGUAACCGAACGGAUCGCAUCAUAUUAUAAUCAUUUCGGUGAUUGGCGAUAGAUCAUUCAAGUUUCUGACCUAUCAGCUUUCGACGGUAGUGUAUUGGACUACCGUGGCAGUGACGGGUAACGGGGAAUUAGGGUUCGAUUCCGGAGAGGGAGCCUGAGAAACGGCUACCACAUCUAAGGAAGGCAGCAGGCGCGCAAAUUACCCAAUCCUGACUCAGGGAGGUAGUGACAAGAAAUAACAACACUGGAAAUUGUAUUUCUAGUGAUUGGAAUGAUGGGAAUCCAAACCCCUUUCAGAGUAACAAUUGGAGGGCAAGUCUGGUGCCAGCAGCCGCGGUAAUUCCAGCUCCAAUAGCGUAUAUUAAAGUUGUUGCAGUUAAAAAGCUCGUAGUUGGAUAUCUGCUGGAAGCAAUCAGUCCGCCCUUUUCGUAAGGGUGUGCACUUGAUGAAUUCUGGCAUGAUUUCAUCCUAAUAA